rnacentral:lncRNA from 1 species
ACAUCUGAAGCUUAAAUUACUACACAAAAGGUGGUAUUGUAAUAUUUUUCAUUUUAAUUGCAAAAUUAACAUGGAAUUUCACUCGUGUGUGUGUGUGCGCAAGUACUAUUAAAAACUUAAGUAGGAAGUGAAUUAUGUAACAGCUAUUACUGUCAAACAUCACACUUGUUUCGUCAGCCCUAAGAGGCCAACUAUACGUCUGUGAUUAUCAUCCCCGCCUUCAGGCUGGGGUGAAAAAUAGAAGCUUCUUGAUAGAAUUUCAACUUCCUCUUACUCUAACUUCACAGGUUUUUCUAAAUCCCCUUAGAAUGGUGGCAAGAUUUCUGCCAGACCAUCCACCUUUGCAAGGUAACGUUUCUUUCAGCCACGAUUCAUGCAAUUGAUUAUGUUGUUAUUUAAUGGAAAG